UACGUAGGGUGCGAGCGUUGUCCGGAAUUACUGGGCGUAAAGCGCGCGCAGGCGGCCAUUCAAGUCAGGGGUGAAAGCCCAGAGCUCAACUCUGGAACUGCCCUUGAAACUGUAUGGCUUGAGUAUGAGAGAGGUGAGUGGAAUUCCCAGUGUAGAGGUGAAAUUCGUAGAUAUUGGGAAGAACACCGGUGGCGAAGGCGGCUCACUGGCUCAUUACUGACGCUCAGGCGCGACAGCGUGGGGAUCAAACAGG
rnacentral:rRNA from 1 species